rnacentral:rRNA from 1 species
UACAGAGGGUGCAAGCGUUGUUCGGAAUUAUUGGGCGUAAAGGGAGUGUAGGCGGUCUGAUAAGUCUUCUGUGAAAUCUACGGGCUAAACCUGUAACGUGCAGAAGAUACUGUUAGGCUUGAGUGUCGGAGAGGAUAGUGGAAUUCCCGGUGUAGAGGUGAAAUUCGUAGAGAUCGGGAGGAACACCAGUGGCGAAGGCGACUGUCUGGCUGACAACUGACGCUGAGACUCGAAAGCAUGGGGAGCAAACAGG